rnacentral:lncRNA from 1 species
ACAUAUAUGCUAAUCAUGAAUAUGCUCAACAUGUCAUAGUACUGAAUCAUAUAAAUCAGGUGUCAAUAGGCUGAAUCAUCAACAAGACAGCUAUCGGGAGGUGGGUUUUACGCCCCAGGCGAACCAGCAACAACUCCCUACUGCCAUAUGCAUACAUCGAAUAUGACACCACACCAAUAUGUAAAUCAUCACUAGACAGCUGUCGGGAGGUGGGUUUUACGCCCCAGGCGAACCAGUAAUAACUCCCUACUGUCACAUGCAUAUGCAGGAUAAGACACCAUACUGAUAAUGUAAAUGCUAGACAGCUGUCGGGAGGUGGAUUUUACGCCCCAGGCGAACCAGCAACAACUCUCCACUGUCACAUGCAUAUGCAGGAUAAGAUACCACACUGAUCAUGUAAAUGUUAGACAGCUGUCGGGAGGUGGGUUUUACGCCCCAGGCGAACCAGCAACAACUCCCCACUGUCACAUGCAUAUGCAAGAUAAGACACCAUACUGAUGAUGUAAAUGCCGGCCAGUAUCCAGAACAGAAAUCCAUCUCACAUCUAUAUACUAAACGGCACCUCGCGGGAAUUCUACAUCCGCAGAAAGCCAUACUGCACCUCGCGGGGUCUUACUAUGCCCGGCGGCAAGCAGAAUAUAAAUCGUAGGACCGGCCGAUCCUACGCCUAGGGCCGUGUCCCCCCUAGGAAGGGACUGGGCUCCGCCCACCCAGAAGGCUACUAUGUGCACAAAGGCCGAUGUUCAACCUCCAUCGACUAUAGGUGUCCUGCAGAUACUGCCAAGCCAUGCAUGAAUGCCAUAAUGCACCCUCCCAAUACUCUACUAAAAAGGAGCAUAAUCAAGACUACCACUCACUCGGCCACGACCCAAUCAUAACUAACAUCAGGGUUAGGAGUGAGGGUCAAGGAAGUGCAAUGCAACUCAAUAUACCACUGAAAAGGGCUCUACAAAUCUUUGAAAUAGAGGAAAUGAAAUCAAUUUACAAAAGAAAUCAUUUCACAAUUCAGAAUCAAUUUGAUUACUCAUCAAC